ACAACAUGAAGUCUUUUAUCAGGUGUGAUAUUUUUCACUUGAACUAGUUUAUCUUUAAAAUAGUCAGUCAUCUGCUUAUAUUUGGUGGUAAAUAUUACUUUGUUCCUUUCAGUAUUUUAUGUAGAUGUUUGGAAUUGACGGUAAUGCAUACAUUAGCCCUAUGAUUUGUGUUUUAGUGCAAUAGUAAGACGGUCAAGUUUUGACUUUGUGCUUCUGAAUAAUACAUGAUGUCUGACAUCUGUCUCAGUCUAGUACCAAACAGAACUGUUUAAUAUUUAACCCGACUGUAUAAUUAACUCAACACAAGGCUUCUUCUCCAUUCACGUUUGAGGGCAAAGGCACACUUGAAGAUUAUAUCUCAAAAGGAAUUUCUCCAUUGUAUAGCAUUCUGAAAUUUUAUUGCUGCUACCUUGCUCGAGUGAAAUUUUAUGUUACUAAUCAUAGGCCCUUUAGCAAUAUUUCGUUUCCUCAAUUGUGAUUUGCUUCAAAUUUUGUUUUUCCUUUUGGGUAGUAUUCAACUUCUAAGAAUCCAGAAUGAAUUGUGUUUUGGUUAAUCAUUGGUUGUUCCUUUAUGGGAGUUGUCUAUAUAGACUAUAGAGGGAGUUUCAAGUUCCAUUUUUGGUUUCCUG
rnacentral:misc_RNA from 1 species